GAACUGAAGGUAGAACUAACAGGAUUCCCCUAGUAACUGCGAGUGAAGCGGGAAAAGCUCAAAUUUAAAAUCUGGCAGCCUCGCUGUCCGAGUUGUAAUCUGGAGAAGCAUUUUCCGUGCUGGACCGUGUACAAGUCUCUUGGAACAGAGCGUCAUAGAGGGUGAGAAUCCCGUCUUUGGCACGGACUACCAGUGCUUUGUGAUAUGCUCUCAAAGAGUCGAGUUGUUUGGGAAUGCAGCUCAAAAUGGGUGGUAAAUUCCAUCUAAAGCUAAAUAUUGGCGAGAGACCGAUAGCGAACAAGUACCGUGAGGGAAAGAUGAAAAGCACUUUGGAAAGAGAGUUAAACAGUACGUGAAAUUGUUGAAAGGGAAACGCUUGAAGUCAGUCGCGUUGUCCGGGACUCAGCCUUGCUUCUGCUUGGUGUACUUCCUGGUUGACGGGCCAACAUCAAUUUUGACCGGUGGAUAAAGGCAGAGGGAAUGUGGCACCUCCGGGUGUGUUAUAGCCCUUUGUCACAUGCAUCGGUUGGGAUUGAGGACCGCAGCACGCCUUUUGGCCGGGGUUCGCCCACGUACCGUGCUUAGGAUGUUGGCAUAAUGGCUUUAAUCGACCCGUCUUGAAACACGGACCAAGGAGUCUAACAUGCCCGCAAGUGUUAGGGUGGUAAACCCUUGCGCGUAAUGAAAGUGAAAGUUGGGACCUCUGUCAUGGAGGGCACCGACGCCCGGCCUGAAACUUCUGUGACGGAGCCGCGGUAGAGCGUGUAUGUUGGGACCCGAAAGAUGGUGAACUAUGCCUGAAUAGGGCGAAGCCAGAGGAAACUCUGGUGGAGGCUCGUAGCGAUUCUGACGUGCAAAUCGAUCGUCAAAUUUGGGUAUAGGGGCGAAAGACUAAUCGAACCAUCCAAAAGCCC
rnacentral:rRNA from 1 species